rnacentral:rRNA from 1 species
GCGAAGAACCUUACCUACUCUUGACAUCCAGAGAAUCCUACGGAGACGUGGGAGUGCCUUCGGGAACUCUGAGACAGGUGCUGCAUGGCUGUCGUCAGCUCGUGUUGUGAAAUGUUGGGUUAAGUCCCGCAACGAGCGCAACCCUUAUCCUUGUUUGCCAGCACUUCGGGUGGGAACUCCAGGGAGACUGCCGGUGAUAAACCGGAGGAAGGUGGGGACGACGUCAAGUCAUCAUGGCCCUUACGAGUAGGGCUACACACGUGCUACAAUGGCGCAUACAGAGGGCGGCCAACUUGCGAAAGUGAGCGAAUCCCAAAAARUGMGUCGUAGUCCGGAUUGGAGUCUGCAACUCGACUCCAUGAAGUCGGAAUCGCUAG